rnacentral:tRNA from 1 species
GGCACCAUAGCCAAGCGGUAAGGCAGCGGUCUGCAAAAUCGCCAUUCUCCAGUUCGAUUCUGGAUGGUGCCUCCA